UGUGUGCAGUGACUGUCUUCAAGGAUGGUGUCCAUUCAUGACUGUAGCUGAUAUGCCUGAACCUUGAUCUUUGGCCUAGACCAGGCUCUUCUGCACUCUGCAGGCCUGUUUCUAUCUGCCAACCCAACAGCCUUACCAGAGUGCCCCUCAUUGGUUGAAUCCAGAUGCAGAUCCAGGGACUGGGAGGGCUGAUGGAGGGCUGACUGUGUUUCUGCUCAGGCAGAUGUGAAGUGAGCCCUAAAAGAACUUCCCACUGGCCAAAUUGUAGGAACUUACAACGCAAGUGGAAUCAUCCUGCCAUGAUACAGUCUGACGGGCAGAAGGGCACCGUGUGAUGAAAAGAGUGAUCAGGAGACAUCAGUGAAAAAGAGGUCUGUGUUUACAUCAGUGUCUGUGGGAACUUAACAUAUAAUGGGUCACGAACGGACAUGGAGCCCAGACAACAAGGAGGGCAGAAGGUCAGUUUUUGGAAGGAGCUAAGGAGGGAGGUACGUAUUUAUAGAGAGUCUGAGCUAUAUGCUGAGCUGUGGGAAAAUCCAAAGCCUGGGUCAGAAAGGUGAGCUGGCUAUAAAAAUGGAGCAAUGAGGUGAGAAAUGAGACAGAACCCAAGAUUAACAGUAGCGGCAAUGGAUGGAGAGGGUUUGAGAAAAGAUUCCUUUCUCCAUACUAAUGAAGAUAACGUUGCAUAAUUAUUGAUUUAUAAGUAUCCAUUAUAUGCUAGAGUCAGCAUUAAACAUG
rnacentral:lncRNA from 1 species